CCUACGGAUGGCAGCAGUGAGGAAUAUUGGUCAAUGGGCGCGAGCCUGAACCAGCCACGUAGCGUGAAUGAUGACUGCCCUACGGGUUGUAAACUUCUUUUAUAAAGGAAUACAGUGAGGCACGUGUGCCUUUUUGUAUGUACUUUAUGAAUAAGGAUAGGCUAACUCCGUGCCAGCAGCCGCGGUAAUACGGAGGAUCCGAGCGUUAUCGGGAUUUAUUGGGUUUAAAGGGAGCGUAGAUGGGUUGUUAAGUCAGUUGUGAAAGUUUGCGGCUCAACCGUAAAAUUGCAAUUGAUACUGGCAGUCUUGAGUACAGUUGAGGUAGGCGGAAUUCGUGGUGUAGCGGUGAAAUGCUUAGAUAUCACGAAGAACUCCGAUGGCGAAGGCAGCUUACUAAACUGCCACUGACAUUGAUGCUCGAAAGUGUGGGUAUCAAACAGGAUUAGAUACCCCAGUAGUC
rnacentral:rRNA from 1 species